rnacentral:rRNA from 1 species
AGAGAGAGACAUGCGCGCAUAUCAAUAAGCGGAGGAAAAGAAACUAACAAGGAUUCCCCUAGUAACGGCGAGUGAAGCGGGAAGAGCUCAAAUUUGAAAUCUUAAAGGGUUUCCCUUUACGAAUUGUAGUUUAAAGAAGUGUUUUCUGUUGAGGUUUUGGUAAAAGUUCUUUGGAAUAGGACAUCAUAGAGGGUGAGAAUCCCGUAUUUGACCUUUACUUUCAACUUUGUGAUACACUUUCAAAGAGUCGGAUUGUUUGGGAAUGCAGUCCAAAAUGGGUGGUAAAUUUCAUCUAAAGCUAAAUAUUGGCGAGAGACCGAUAGCGAACAAGUACCGUGAGGGAAAGAUGAAAAGAACUUUGAAAAGAGAGUUAAACAGUACGUGAAAUUGUCAAAAGGGAAGCGUUUGACACCAGUGUUGUUUUUCUGAAAAUCAAUUAAAGAACUGUUUAUGCUAAGUUGUUUAGACUUUAUCAGCUAACUGUUUAGUUUUGAGCUUUUCUUUAAUGCACUUUUCAGUUAACAAGUCUACAUCAAUUUCUUUUGCUGUAAAAAAGCUUGAGGAAGGUGGCUUGAGAUUCGUCUUAAGUGUUUAUAGCCUCUUGCCUAUGCAGUCGGAGAGAUUGAGGUCUGCAGCGUAGAUCCUUCGGGGCUAAAUGCAUUUGUGCUAAGUUAUAGCAUUUUAUAGACAACUUGUUGACUAUGAUUUGUCUUGUAGCUUACUCGCUUAUGUUAUUUUACCUACGCUUAGGAUGUUGAGCGCAUGUCUCUCUCU